UACGAAGGAGGCUAGCGUUGUUCGGAAUCAUGCUAGGGCGUAAAGCGCACGUUAGGCGGACUUGUCAGUCAGGGGUGAAAUCCCGGGGACUCAACCGUCGGAACUGCCUCUGAUACAGGCAAGUCUUGAGUCCGGAAGAGGUGGGUGGAAUUCCUAGGUGUAGAGGUGAAAUUCGUAGAUAUUAGGAAGAACACCGGUGGCGAAGGCGGCUACACUGGUCCGGUACGUGACGCUGAGGUGCGAAAGCGUGGGGAGCAAACAGGGAUUAA
rnacentral:rRNA from 1 species